UUUGAUCCUGGCUCAGAGUGAACGCUGGCGGCGUGCUUAACACAUGCAAGUCGAACGAGAACAGGAGAGAGCUUGCUUUCUUGCUGCUAAGUGGCGCACGGGUGAGUAAUAUAUAGGUAAUAUGCCUCUUUCUAAGGGAUAAUUGACGGAAACGUCUUGUAAUACCUUAUAUGCCUUUUGAACAUAAGUUCGUAAAGGGAAAGAUUUAUCGGUAAGAGAUUAGCCCGUAUGGUAUCAGUUUGUUGGUUGGAUAAUGGCCUAACAAGACUAUGAAACCUAACUGGUUUGAGAGGAUGAUCAGUCACACUGGAACUGAGACACGGUCCAGACUCCUACGGGAGGCAGCAGUGGGGAAUAUUGCACAAUGGACGAAAGUCUGAUGCAGCAACGCCGCGUGGAGGAUGACACAUUUCGGUGCGAAAACUCCUUUUAUAUGAGAAGAUAAUGACGGUAUCAUAUGAAUAAGCACCGGCUAACUCGGUGCCAGCAGCCGCGGUAAUACGUGGGGUGCAAGCGUUACUCGGAAUCACUGGGCGGAAAGAGCAUGCAGGCGGGAGAAUAAGUUGGAAGUGAAAUCCUAUAGCUUAACUAUAGAACUGCUUCCAAAACUGUUUACCUAGAGUGUGGAAGAGGUAGAUGGAAUUUCUGGUGUAGGGGUAAAAUCCGUAGAGAUCAGAAGGAAUACCGAUUGCGAAGGCGAUCUACUGGAACAUUACUGACGCUCAGAUGCGAAAGCGUGGGGUUCAAACAGGAUUAGAGAUCCUGGUAGUCUUCGCCCUAAACGAUGUACACUAGUUCUUGCUAUACUAGCUAUGGCCGUAAUGCAGUUAGCACUUUAAGUAUACAGCAUGGGGAUUAAGGUCGCAAGAUUAAAACUCAAAUGAAUAGACGGGGACCCGCACAAGCGGUGGAGCAUGUGGUUUAACUCGACGAUACGCGAAAAACCUUACCUGGCCUAGACAUAGUAGGAACCUUUUAGAGAUAGAAUGGUGCUAGCUUGCUAGUACCUAUAUACAGGUGCUGCACGGCUGUCGUCAGCUCGUGUCGUGAGAUGUUGGGUUAAGUCCCGCAACGAGCGCGACCCACGUGAUUAGGUGAUAACGGUUCGGCCGAGAACUCUAAUCAGACUGCCUUCGCAAGGAGGAGGAAGGUGUGGACGACGUCAAGUCAUCAUGGCCCUUACGGCCAGAGCAACACACGUGCUACAAUGGGAUAUACAAAGAGCCGCAAUACCGCGAGGUGGAGCAAAUCUAGAAAAUAUCUCUCAGUCCUGAUUGUUCUCUGCAACUCGAGAACAUGAAGUUGGAAUCGCUAGUAAUCGUGGAUCAGCAUUGCC
rnacentral:rRNA from 1 species